rnacentral:lncRNA from 1 species
GUUCUGGGUGAGUGAGUGCCCUUUGUUAAAUCUAUUCCUGUUUUGAUCACGAUCUUGAGAUCUUCCAUGUUGCUUGACUCACCUCUACUCUUUAAGAUCAUUUCUUUUGUCUAUUCUGGCAGCCACUGGUAUCCACUUUUUUUUUCCUAUGUAUUUGAUUACCUUCUUUACCCUUUAUUUGUGGGAUUGUAUUUUUCUGUUUUUGAGUGUUUUAUUUCACUCUCAUCUUGUCCUGAAGCUUUAGCUGUGUUUUUUCUAUGUCAUUGGAUUUACUUCCUUCGAAGGGAUGAAUAAUACUUCGUUUUCUGUAUUGGUCAUAUUUUAUUUAUCCAUCCAACUCUAGACUAACAUUUGUGUUUCCUCCUCACCAUUGUGAAUAGUGCUGCUGUGAACAUGGAUCUUGAGAUAUAUAUUCAAGACACUGCUUUCAGUUGUUUUGGAUAUGUAUAUAAAUUUGGAUUACUUGAUCAUAUUGAUGUUCUAUAUCAAUUUCGUAAGGAUCUGAUACACUGUUUUCCAUAUUGUUUGUUCCAUUUUCUACUCAUAGCAGCAUUGCACAAAGGUGCAAUAAUUUUCAAAGGACGUAAGUUUUCAAAGGUUUCCCUUUUUUCUACAAGGAGAAAAGUUAAUCCCUGGAGAAAACAGUAGACCUGGAACUGGAAAUCGUACCAGCAGAAUACACAUAGUAAAAUUUAACAACUAACCCUUAUCAUAUUAGUUUACCCUAUGUUUAUUCUCUCACAGUUGGUAAUUUCAAGGUUCUUUUCUACUUUCACUUCUCUAUAAAUGUUUUGUUAUUUUGCUAAAAUACUGUGUAAACUCAAGUUUUAACCAAACUUUUGAGUUAUUCAUCUCUGGAGACUCCCAUGUGUCAGAAGCAUGAUAUACUGUUGAUAAACUUUUGGUUCUUUUUCUGUUAAUCUCUUUUUUGUUAUAGUGGCCCCAGCUAAGAAUUUGGAAGGGUGAAAAGAAAGUUAUUUUUUCUCCCUUACACUGGUAAAAUGAUAGCUGCAAGGAUGUCUGUCACGGGACAAUAAAGUGAAAAAUUUACCAUUCACUAUCUCCAAACUAUUUAGAGCCUUGCUCCCUUCCCAAGUGAGAAGCAAGUUCUCAAGUGCAGGCUCUCCCUCUGCCCUGUCACCCCCUGCUUUUUGCUAAGGACCUGCUAGGGAGCCAGUGCUUCUUCCAUGGCCUUCCUAGGGUUGCUAUAGGUAUUGUCCACAUCGACUACGUGGGUGGGGGAGAUAGGUUUUUCGUGCCUGACUGGUAAGUCUUAUUUGUAUUUUCCUUUGUUUUGAAAAGAAAGAACAUGCUCUUCAUGAAGGUAAGUUUUACAUAAUGGAGACAGUGUAGUAUAGAGAGGAAAAUGGAAGUUAACCACUGAUGCCACCACCCAGACAAGUGUUAAUUUGGGGCAUGCUCAAGGGUAACCUCCAUCUAAAGUUGACCCUUGGGGAGUUCCCGUCGUGGCUCAGUGGUUAACGAAUCCGAGUAGGAAUUAGGAGGUUGCGGGUUCGAUCCCUGGCCUUACCCAGUGGGUUAAGGAUCCGGCACUGCCGUGAGCCAUGUUGUAGGUUGCAGAUGCAGAUUCCGCGUUGCUGUGGCUCUGGCAUAAGCCGGCGGCUAGAGCUCCGAUUAGACCCCUAGCCUGGGAACCUCCAUAUGCCAUGGGAGCGGCCCAAGAAAUGGUAUAAGGACAAAAUAAAUAAAUAAGUAAAGUUGACCCUUGGAGUUCCCGUCAUGGCACAGCAGAAACAAAUCUGACUAGAAACCAUGAGGUUGUAGGUUCAAUCCCUGGCCUCGCUCAGUGGGUUAAGGAUCUGGUGUUGCCGUGACCUGUGGUGUAGGUCGCAGAUGCAGCUCAGAUCCCGCAUGGCUGUGGCUGUGGUGUAGGUUGCAGACGCAGCUCAGAUCUGGUGUUGCUGUGGCUCUGGCAUAGGCCGGCAGCAAUAGCUCUGAUUAGACCCCUAGCCUGGGAACCUCCACAUGCCAUGGGUGCGGCCCUAAAAAGACAGAAAAGACAAUCAAUCAAUCAAUAAAGUUGAUCCUUGAGUAACAUGGGGUAAUAAGGGUGCCAGCUCUCCCUGCAGUUGAAAAUAUUCGUAUAACUUGUUGUCAGGGUCUUUGUUUAUGAGGUUCCUCUGUAUCUAUGGUUUUGCAUCCACAGAUUCAACCAACCUUGGAUUGUGUAGACUGUGGUAUUUACUAUUAAAAAAAAAAUCAAUGUAUAAGUGGACAUGUAGUUUAAACCUAUGUUGUUCAGUUGUACUUCGUUACUAAACAACUGACUGUGAGGAUAUUUUUGUUGACUAUUUCCAUUAACAAAUAUUAUCCUUACUUAUUUUUACGGAAAAAAAAAACAACCCAUCUUCACCAAUACAGAAGACUAAGUCAUCCCUGUCCAGAUCCACUCCCCAGUGUGACCACCCUUAAAAGAAAUACUUUUGAAAUUAUCCAUGGGCUCUCCAUCAGCCCCAGGGCAACGCAACUCACCUGCUGACUGCUCCUAAUGCUUCAGAAUUUCCUGCCUCCAUUCCAUAACCCCACAGAGGACAAUGAACAGGCUGUCCAGCUUCACCCAGCCUGGGCUCAGGCUCUGACAGCCCCCUUUCUCAUCCUUCUCUGCUUUUUGGGCAGAGAGGUGGUAUGAAUCUGCAGGGCACUGUUACCAAAUCAGGUUUAUUUGCCCAAUGUGCAGCAAAUCAAAAACACUAAGACACCAAGGUUUGCAGCUGAGAAAGGGUUUAUUCACAAGGCAGCCAAGUAAGGAGACUGGAGAACAAAUUUCCAGUCUGCCUCCCUGAAGGCCAGGGGCUUGGGAUAUUUAGGGGAUAAAGAAGCAAUGUGGGGAAAGGUGAGUGGAGGUAAGAAAAAGGUUAAAUAAUCAUUCUGCACAGACACAACUGAGCUACAUGCUUCUUAAUGGGAUGCAUCUUCAGAAUAUGGUGCUGUUGGCAUGCUCUGGAGUUUCUGGCCCUCUAAUUUCAAAAGGUCAUCCAUCAGACUUGCACAGGCCAAGUUGUAUGAUUGGUGGUCUUGAUGGGUUUAAACUGCACAAGUUCCUGAAAAAUAAGCAACCAUUACUAUAGCAACCCAUAGUUAGAGGUGUUGUCUGUAGGGGGUAGUUAGUUGUUUUAUGUAUGAUACACUGUCUAAGCUACGUGAAGCUUGCAGGGUAUGCAAUUUGCAAGAACAAUUACGGUGAGCUUGAUUGGUGAAGGCAAGUUAUAUGAUAUUUAUUAAGCAAGUUAUAGUUUUAGCGAUCUGAUGACUGCCCUUGGUUUUUUUGGGAGGGCGGACAACAAGGGCCCUGGUAUACUUUGUUAUGGCUAGGCAGCUGGCCUUUUUGCAAUUCAGGGCAACAUCGGAAGUCUCACAAAAUCUAGCUGUUUUCAACUGAUGGGGAACAUUUUGGAAAGAACUGUGGUUUUUGUUUGUCUAGUUUCUGGCUGUGCUUAGGACAUGUGGAAAUUCCCAGAAGAGGGACUGAACCCACCUCACAGCAGUGACCUGAGCCACAGCAGUGACAAUGCUGGAUCCUUUAAUUGCUAUGCUGUCAGGGAACUCCUAGAUAGAAUUGUUCAUGCUCUGCCACAAGUUGCUCACCUUACUGAGUACCACAGGUGGAAUUCCCCGACAAAACCUUUACCUAUGAAUCUCAGCUGCUUCCUUCUGGAUUCCUUAUCAUUUUCCCUGUCCUUCACUUUGGGGAAUAAUGGCAGUUCCCCCCAUAAAGAGAACAAAGUCAAAGCCUUUUUUCCAUCCCUGGACAGACACAGAUUCAAAAAGUUCUCAUUGUACCAGAAAACCAAGGUCCACAGAAACUAAUGGUUUGCCAGGGUAAACUAGGAUGGCACAGGAUGGAUUCAACAUGCAUGUGGCUCUCAGGGUGCCAAUCCAUUACUCUUGUAUAGGAGGAAAAAAAAUAUUUUUUCCUACCCUUCUAAGUUCUCUACUGGGAAAAAAAACAGAUUAACAAGAGAAAAGCAUACAAAUUUAAUGUAAAUCUUUGUGACUCAGAAGCCUUCAUAAGAAAGUGAAGACCUAAAGAAAUGUUUAAACCUUGAGUGUUUUUAUACUAGGUUUGAUGAAGUGUAGAAAAUCAUAGAAGGUAUGAUAGGACAGAGUAUAAGCUAAGUGUAAUAACAUGGGGGAAAUUUAGCAAGUCCUAUUCAUUUACAUUCCUCUCUGUGUUGCUUCUAAUUCAAAGAUAAGAAUGCUUCUUUCCUCCAGGUAUAGGGAGGGCAUUGCUCACAUGAGGAUUGAACACCAGCUUCAGGGUAAGUCUGUGCAAAUGCCAUUUCUCAAAUUCCUUAAGCUUAAAAUACUCGGUGUGUUAAUAGUAGCAUGUCCUGAACCCUCAUCACUCUCCAUGCAGAUGGCCAAUAAGUACAAGAAAAGAUGCUCAACAUCAUUAGUCAUUGUGAAAUAGAAAUUAAAAACACAAGGAGAUAGCACUUCAUACAGAGUGGGUAUAAUAAUGUUAAAUGGGACAUGGAUAUUUUCAUGUGGCAUUAGGAAAUAACUGUAAGCUUUUGUUCAAUGCAGUGCUGGUAUUUUGGGGUUUUUAAAAACUUUGUUAGUGUAUCAUACUUUACAUCAUAUGGGGUAUAUAAAUUAGGGUUUAUGGGUAAGGUCAAUAUGCUAUGAAAUACUGCAGCAAAAAAAGCAAAAACAUAAUUAGAAAAAAUUUGGUUAUUUUUGAAGCUGGUUGGUGAAGGGGUUUAGAACAUGCCACCCCAAAAUAUGACACUUUUGGCAUAUGAAUUGCUUUGAGCUAGCAGCAAUUAAGACACAACAGAGGCAGGAAAAUCUCUUCCUCUUCUAAAGGAAAUUUACAUUUAUGAAGGAAAUUUUUCUUAGUAAAAUUAGAGCCACAUUCCCAGACACAUUUGUGAAAAUUGCAUUCCUAUAUAAGUAAUUAAAAAAUUUUUUCCCUUCCUUUAAUCUCUCAUAUUUUGUUAGGCCAACUAUAGAACUUAACUAGAAGGAAGUUUUUUUCUUUCUCUGUUAUUAGGCAAAUGAAAUAUUCCAUCAUAUUUGCUUAAAAUUAUACAUGAUAAAUACAUAAAAAUAAUGAGGAGUUCCCAGGUAGUACAGUGGGUUAAGGAUCUGGUGUUGUCCCUGCUGUGGCUUGGGUUUCAACUCUGG